AGAGUUUGAUCCUGGCUCAGGAUAAACGCUGGCGGCGUGCCUAAUACAUGCAAGUCGAUCGAUAGAAGUCCAGCUUGCUGGACGGAAAUAGAGGCGAACGGGUGAGUAAUACGUAAGCAACCUGCCCACGAAGACUGGGAUAAUCCCUGGAAACGGGGACUAAGACCGGAUAGGUACAGAGAUCGCAUGAUCUUUGUAUUAAAGGUGAGAGACACUGGUGGAUGGGCUUACGGUGCAUUAGCUGGAUGGUGAGGUAACGGCCCACCAUGGCGAUGAUGCAUAGCCGGGCUGAGAGGCUGAACGGCCACAUUGGGACUGAGACACGGCCCAGACUCCUACGGGAGGCAGCAGUAGGGAAUUUUCGGCAAUGGGGGAAACCCUGACCGAGCAACGCCGCGUGAGUGAUGAAGGUCUUCGGAUUGUAAAGCUCUGUUGUAAGGGAAGAACGGCAUCUAUAGAAUAGGUGAGUGACGGUACCUUACCAGAAAGCUACGGCUAACUACGUGCCAGCAGCCGCGGUAAUACGUAGGUAGCGAGCGUUAUCCGGAAUUAUUGGGCGUAAAGGGUGCGUAGGCGGCCUGUUAAGUUUAUGGUGAAAGCGUGGGGCUCAACCCCAUAAAGCCAUAGAUACUGGCAGGCUAGAGUACUGGAGAGGGUAGUGGAAUUCCAUGUGUAGCGGUAAAAUGCGUAGAUAUAUGGAGGAACACCGGUGGCGAAGGCGGCUACCUAGACAGAGACUGACGCUGAGGCACGAAAGCGUGGGGAGCAAAUAGGAUUAGAUACCCUAGUAGUCCACGCUGUAAAACAAUGAAUGCUAGGGAUUCGGG
rnacentral:rRNA from 1 species